AUACUUACUUGGCGUCGGAAAUGCCCCGAUCAUGAAGGGGGCUUUCCCGAUCUGAGGCCGUCCAUUGCACUUAGGACGGCUGACGUUCGCCACUUCUGCAAAGUGUAGUUGUUUGGGGCGCAUAAUUUUUGGACUCGGGACUGCGUUCGCGCUGCUCCCGG